GGACUACAGGGGUAUCUAAUCCCGUUUGCUCCCCACGCUUUCGCACAUGAGCGUCAGGUCAGUGCCAGGGUGCCGCUUUCGCCACUGGUAUUCCUCCCGAUAUCUACGCAUUCCACCACUACACCGGGAAUUCUACACCCCUCUCACCACCUCAAGCCAACCAGUUUCCAACGACCUCUCCCAGUUAAGCCAGGAGAUUUCACGUCAGACUUAAUCAGCCGCCUGCGUGCGCUUUACGCCCAGUAAUUCCGGAUAACGCUUGUCACCUACGUAUUACCGCGGCGGCUGGCAC
rnacentral:misc_RNA from 1 species